CCUACGGGUGGCAGCAGUCGAGAAUCAUUCACAAUGGGGGAAACCCUGAUGGUGCGACGCCGCGUGGGGGAAUGAAGGUCUUCGGAUCGUAAACCCCUGUCAUGUGGGAGCAAAUUAAAAAGAUAGUACCACAAGAGGAAUAGACGGCUAACUCUGUGCCAGCAGCCGCGGUAAUACAGCGGUCUCAAGCGUUGUUCGGAAUCACUGGGCGUAAAGCGUGCAUAGGCUGUUUUGGAAGUCGUGUGUGAAAGGCGCGGGCUCAACCCGCGGACGGCACAUGAUACUGCGAGACUAGAGUAGUGGAGGGGGAAGCGGAAUUCUCGGUGUAGCAGUGAAAUGCGUAGAUAUCGAGAGGAACACUCGUGGCGAAGGCGGGUUCCUGGACAUUAACUGACGCUGAGACACGAAGGCCAGGGGAGCGAAAGGGAUUAGAUACCCGAGUAGUC
rnacentral:rRNA from 1 species